rnacentral:rRNA from 1 species
UACGUAGGGGGCAAGCGUUGUCCGGAAUUAUUGGGCGUAAAGCGCGCGCAGGCGGUUCUUUAAGUCUGGUGUCUAAGUGCGGGGCUCAACCCCCGUGAUGCACUGGAAACUGGGGAACUUGAGUGCAGAAGAGGAGAGCGGAAUUCCACGUGUAGCGGUGAAAUGCGUAGAGAUGUGGAGGAACACCCGUGGCGAAGGCGGCUCUCUGGAACGCAACUGACGCUGAGACGCGAAAGCGUGGGGAGCAAACAGG